rnacentral:rRNA from 1 species
UACGAAGGGGGCUAGCGUUGUUCGGAAUUACUGGGCGUAAAGGGCGCGUAGGCGGUCCUGAUCGUCGGAUGUGAAAGGCCUGGGCUCAACCUGGGAACUGCAUCCGAUACGGCGGGACUGGAGUGUGGGAGAGGUUGGUGGGAUUCCCAGUGUAGAGGUGAAAUUCGUAGAUAUUGGGAAGAACACCGGUGGCGAAGGCGGCCAACUGGACCACAACUGACGCUGAGGCGCGAAAGCCAGGGGAGCGAACGGG